CCUACGGGUGGCAGCAGUGGGGAAUAUUGGACAAUGGGGGGAACCCUGAUCCAGCCAUGCCGCGUGUGUGAAGAAGGCCCUCGGGUUGUAAAGCACUUUCAGUGAGGAAGAACGCCUGGUGGUUAAUACCCAUCAGGAAAGACAUCACUCACAGAAGAAGCACCGGCUAACUCCGUGCCAGCAGCCGCGGUAAUACGGAGGGUGCGAGCGUUAAUCGGAAUUACUGGGCGUAAAGCGCGCGUAGGUGGCUUGAUAAGCCGGUUGUGAAAGCCCCGGGCUCAACCUGGGAACGGCAUCCGGAACUGUCAAGCUAGAGUGCAGGAGAGGAAGGUAGAAUUCCCGGUGUAGCGAUGAAAUGCGUAGAGAUCGGGAGGAAUACCAGUGGCGAAGGCGGCCUUCUGGACUGACACUGACACUGAGGUGCGAAAGCGUGGGUAGCAAACAGGAUUAGAUACCCCUGUAGUC
rnacentral:rRNA from 1 species